rnacentral:rRNA from 1 species
GAUGAACGCUGGCGGCGUGCCUAAUACAUGCAAGUCGAGCGAACAGACGAGGAGCUUGCUCCUCUGACGUUAGCGGCGGACGGGUGAGUAACACGUGGAUAACCUACCUAUAAGACUGGGAUAACUUCGGGAAACCGGAGCUAAUACCGGAUAAUAUAUUGAACCGCAUGGAUCAAUAGUGAAAGACGGUUUUGCUGUCACUUAUAGAUGGAUCCGCGCCGCAUUAGCUAGUUGGUAAGGUAACGGCUUACCAAGGCAACGAUGCGUAGCCGACCUGAGAGGGUGAUCGGCCACACUGGAACUGAGACACGGUCCAGACUCCUACGGGAGGCAGCAGUAGGGAAUCUUCCGCAAUGGGCGAAAGCCUGACGGAGCAACGCCGCGUGAGUGAUGAAGGUCUUCGGAUCGUAAAACUCUGUUAUUAGGGAAGAACAAAUGUGUAAGUAACUAUGCACGUCUUGACGGUACCUAAUCAGAAAGCCCCGGCUAACUACGUG